rnacentral:lncRNA from 10 species
UGCAUCCUUAAGUCUCUACGAAAUGUGUUAAUUUCCAGGGAAGAAAGACUCUCUUCUAGGUGCUGAGGAUACAGCCGUGGACAUCUAGCCCCAGUGCAGCUUGUAUUCUGAUGGGAUAGGAGGUGAACCCCAGCAACUGAGCUCCUUUGUUCAUGGCAAUAAGCCGCCCAGAGCUGACUCCCAUUCGGCUGACCACACUGGCUGUGAGCUGCAGCAUUUCGGCUUCACGUCCAGGACCUCAGAAGUACAGCAGGAAACUUGACCUAGUCCUCUUCCAGACUUCAGGCCCUUCCCUAACCCCAGCAAGACCAGCCAACAGGUUUCAGCUCCCAACACAGGGCGGAUCUCAAACAUAACAGGUGACUCAAAUGCAGUCUGCGAUAGAGUUGGCGCUUUGAUGAGUGUCUGGCCCCAGGAGAAGGAUUUCAGAAAGCUCAGUUCACAGCACACAUCUGGAGGGGCAUCCUCAGGGCUUGGGUUUCUGGCAGGCAUCUGGGCUGAGGGACUAGCAGGGCUGUCUAUGCGCUCACACAGGAAGCCCCGAGAAACAUGCCACCCGUGGCAGCCAGCUGGGCUUUCCGCAGAGCCAGGGUUCUGUCCCACUUGUGAGCUGCUUAUCUCAUCCUCCACCCACACCCCAGGGAGGCAGUGAAGGGCUUUCAGGCAGGAGCAGCCUCAUAAGCACUAUAAUAAUGUCAGUUGACUUGAGUUGACUAAUAUCAUGACAGCGUGUUGCAGUCUUCAGAGAAAGAUACUAAAAUGGUUGUGCUAUUACGGAUCUCAGAGCAUUAAGGAAAGUUGACCAGCUUUCACUGGGCUGAACCAAGGGGUGAAGCAGUCAGAGACAAGGCUGGGACUUUCCUGUUUCUGUAAAACAUACUUCUUUCCAUUCAAAAAGUUUUGGACAGGCAAUAUGCAAAAAGACAACUGCUGAAUGAUUCCACUUGUAUGAGGCACCUAGAGGAGUCAAAGUCACAGAGACAGAAAGUAGAAUGGUGGGUGCCAGGGACUAGGGGGAGGGGAAUGAGAAGUUCGUGUUUAAUGGGUACAGUUUCAGUUUGGAAAGAUGCAAAGGCUUCCGGGAUGAUGGUGAUGUUUGCACCAUAAUGUGAAUGUACUUAAUGAAUGCCACCAAAUGGUACGCUUAAAAAUGCUUCAAAUAGGCCAGGUGCAGUGGCUCAUGCCUGUAAUCCCAGCACUUUGGGAGGCUGAUGUGGGCGGUUCACCUGAGAUCAGAAGUUUGAGACCAGACUAACCAACAUGGAGAAACCCCAUCUCUACCAAAAAUGCAAAAUUAGCUGGGCAUGAUGGUGCACGCCUGUAAUCCCCGCUACUCAGGAGGCUGAGGCAGGAGAAUCGCUUGAACCCAGGAGGCAGAGGUUGUGGUGAGCCAAGAUCGUGCCAUUGCACUCCAGCCUGGGCAACAGAGCAAGACUCUGUCUACAAAAAAAAAAAAAAAGCUUCAAACGGUAAAUUUUAUGUUGUGUAUAUUUUACCACAAUUAAAAUGUAUGGAAAUAUUUAUUCUGAUUCUUCAGUUAGAUCAUUUGUGGGUUAAAUAUGCCCCAUGUAGCAUUUCUUUCUGUAAAUAUACUGCCCCAUCCCCCACAUGGUAUUAGACUGAGAUUCCUAAGGGUAGAAACUAUUUAUCAUUCAUCUUUUUAGCCCCACUCCACCCAGUACAAAGCUCUAUAUAACAUACCACUGGAUAAAUGUUAUUUAAAGAAAAAAAUGGAUGAACAAGUGAACUCAGAAUUCCCAUACCGUUGCACCACGUUUUUUUCUAAACAUGUGUUCACAGAAUAGUAGCAGCAACAAUGAGCAUUAUGAAUGCCCUGUAUUCAGAGUAAAUAAGACUGUCAAUCCAAAAGAAAAAGAAAUAGUUAAGUGCAUAUAUCUAGCCAUAUUGAAAGUUUCCUACCCUAAGUCCCCAGACAGCCCUCACUUGACUCUCAUGAGUAGUAGGAGUGAUAAACGAAUGAAUAAAUGAAUGACUUUUCUUCCUGGUCCACAGGCUUAGAUUUUCCCAGUCUGGAUAUCAAGGGCAUUCCAUGCAGUGAGACUUUAAAGUCUCUAGAGAGGGACAGGAACCACCUGAAGUUGUUUCAGCUUAGACGUCCCUUUCCUUAGUAGCUCCUUCCUCCAGGGUGAGGCAGGAAGUGAUCGCCAGCUGCCUCCCUGUUGACCAGGCUAUGAAACCUUUUACAGUCACUUGGCUUCACUUCUGUGCUGUUUUUUUGGGUGAAGACUUUCUCAUUUUCUGGUAAAGCAGAUAUUUAAGGGGCAGGAAACUCAACAUCAAAAGACCGGAACAGAAGAGAGAAAUCCUUGCAUUAUUCGGAACCAGCGAGUAUGUAUGGUGCAGGCAACUGAAACACCCUCUCUCUCUGCCUUUUUUUUUUUUUUUUUUGCAUUGAACACUCUCAGUGUCUUCAAAUUCCUAAGAUUUUUUUCUUAACAUCUCACAUUUUAUUAAAUAAAUCCAACCGCUGUGUAUCACCGUC